rnacentral:rRNA from 1 species
UACGGGGGGAGCAAGCGUUGUUCGGAUUUACUGGGUUUAAAGGGUGCGUAGGUGGGUCUGUAAGUCAGUGGUGAAAUCUCCGGGCUUAACCCGGAAACUGCCAUUGAUACUAUAGGUCUUGAAUUUUCUGGAGGUCAGCGGAAUAUGUCAUGUAGCGGUGAAAUGCUUAGAUAUGACAUAGAACACCAAUUGCGAAGGCAGCUGGCUACAGGAACAUUGACACUGAGGCACGAAAGCGUGGGGAUCAAACAGG